CCUGGGCAAUAAGAGCGAAACUCUGUCUCAAAAAACAAACAAACAAAAAAAAUCAAAAACAAAAAACUAGGAAACUGAUUUUUGAGGAUGAAGAAGUAGGACUUCUUGGUGAAGACUGUAGGUAUAGCUAUACAGGUAUACAGUUAUGGUAGUUGGUUGAUGGUGGUGGCUGGUUGAUCUUUAUUUGUUAGGAUUUUUAUUGUAACUGAAGUUACUCAAGGGUAUUGAUUAGGAGUGUGGCUAGGAAAGUGGGGUGAGGAAAGAGAGAAAGUAAAGUUUGAUUAGGCCUUUUUGGUUGGAUACAGUUGUUGAGGUUAGUGUUUGGAGCUGCGUUGCAUUUGUUGGUAUUGUUGUUCUAUUCAGAUCAGGUCUAGCUGGAGGGAUGCUGUGUUUAGACCGGCAGUUAGAUUCAAGUGUGGUGUCGGGCCAGGUGAAUUGGAAUUGGGAAAUAUUCUAAUAGGUUGGAAAUUUAUGUGGGUGUAAGCGGGGUUCAAAUCUGAGAUGACGUAUGAUGAAGUUGCAUUCUAUUGCCACCGUAAAUGCUGAGAAGCCACAGCAAGAGCUGUGAAUUGUGGGUCUGAGGGUGUGGUUAUGUGGGGCAGAGAGAUGGGAGUCAUGAUGGUGGAGGUGAAGAAUCCGGCAGAGGCACCACCAACUGAGUUGAUUAGAAGGGGUCACUUUCCUUGAUGACACAACCAGGUUGUGAAGCCAGGUUGCUCUAAGAGCGGGAAGACAGCAUUCGAGUGUGAAGGCAGCUGUGAGGGAGGAGGCGAGGGGCAGAAUCAGGAGGGCGCAGGUGUGGGUAUAUGUGUGUUUGUGGUUUUGACGAUCAGGUCUUUGGAGCAGGUGCCCCCGAGGAAAGGUGCACACAUGCGCGCAAGGCUGCCGGUGACGUGUGAGGACGAGGUCAAGGGUAAGGCUUUCAAUAGGCCCUCAUUUUUUUGAAUGUCUUCCAUGGCUGAUGGUGGUCAUGGGCCCAAUUCGUGGGAGAAUAUCAGCGUUAGGGUUGAGAAUGAAUAUGUGUUGAAAUUCUCCCGUGUUGGAGCACAGUGGAAAUCAUGCUGCAAUGAAACCGAUUCUCCCAUGAGGUCGUAGAAGCUGCUUGCAGGGCUGCUGCGUUAGCCUCUGCUCCAUCAGCCAGGUGGUGGAAAUGAUAUAAUACCUACUCCUCCCCAUCUGAUACAAGUUGAACUGGAUGGUUGGUGGUGACUAGGAUUAGCAGCAUGGUGAGAAAUAUGGGUAGAUAUUUAAAGAAUUGAUUGGUAUUAGGAUCUGAGUGCAUAUGUUACAUUGAGAACUCUGUAAAUCACCAUGUGACAAAAAGUGCUAUUGGUAAUAAUCGCGUUUAAAACUAAGUGAGAGCUUUCGGGUUUGGAUAGUUAUUCAGGGUCAGUGUGAGAUAAUAGUUGCUUGGCCCGAGUGAAUAAACAUGAGAGCUGGGGUAAUUCUGGUAAUGAAGUUUGCACACUGUGGACGUCUUUACUGAAUUGGGUAGGCGUUAUCUCGACAGGUGCUGGUUGAGUAAUAACAGUUGGUGAAGUCAAUAAGAUUCAUGAAGUUAGAAUGAAAGAGGAGAAUACAUUUAUUACUUUUAUUUGGAGUUGCACCAAUUUUUUGAUUCCUAAGACCGAUGGAUUACUUCUAUCCUUUAAAAGUUGAGAGAGAAAAAACAAAAAACAAACAAAAAAAACUAGUUAAGAGUUGGUCACAGCCGACACCAGGAAAAGGCAGUCUUCCAAUAGACAGAAAGCACCGCACCUGAAGCUGGUGAUCUGCAGCUUCCCAGUAAGACCUCAGGAGUUGGGCGAGUGGGUUCAAGCACAUUAAGAAGCAAAGUGGUGAAGUUUAACUGGUAUGUGACCUUCCGCUGGAAUGCUCAGCUGGCAAGGGAAGAGCACCUCAAGUGAGCAUGUGUACAAUUUCAGGGCACACAUUGUGCACGCAGCCCCUCCCACAUGCUGGCAGGCCACGGCGCGCGUGACAGCCCACCCCAAGGGAAGAAUCACAGGAGAAGAGACGCAGACCCCGGAACCAUGCCAAUGUAUAAAAACCCAAGUCAAAAGUCAAACUGUGCACUUGAAUCUUCCAAGUCGCCCACUUGACCCUCUUCCAAGUGUACUUUACUUCCUUUUGUUCCUACUCUAAAACUGUUUAAUCAACUUUCACUUGUGCUCUAAAACUUGCCUCAGCCCCUCACUCUGCCUUAUGCCCCUCAGACGAGUUAUUUCCUUUGAGGAGGGAGGAAUUGAGUUACUUCAGGCCCGGAUGGAUCCACCGCUGCUGACGUACUUUGGUGCUGACGUACUUUGGUGCCGUGACUCGGAUACAUUCCCUAGAGGUUGCCCUCAGAACACCCUCCCAGGUAACUGCCAUCGCUGCGGGAAGCCAGGCCACUGGAAGGCAGACUGCAUCAGUCGGACAAAUGGGAGGAAGCUCCACACAGCUGGCCCCCUCCGCCACACUCAGCCAGUGGAACAGGACUGCCCUGAGGGCUGAAGGGCCCUGGGACAGAUUCUCAACCCCUGAUGACUUUCAGCUGAAGGAACUGUCUGCACAGCUGGCCUCCAAGUCAGACAUCGUAUAAAUUAACAAAUUUCCUUGUCAAUUGUGUCUAACUGCGGCUGCCCCAAGACUUAUCAUACACAGACAAUUGUUGCUUCAUUUUAAUCCCCUUUAAAAGAUGGUUUUAUAAUCAAUAUAGGACUCUAAUAACAGGUGCUCUUAAGUCACCUGCCCCAGAGGGGAGGCUUGAGUGACACCUGGAGCUCCUGCACCAUGGGGGAGACAUGAGUGACACCUGAGCACCUGUAUCUUGUAGGAGGUCUGGGUGUGACGUGAGCCCCUGCAGCAGAGGGGAGGCUUCAGGAACACCUGGAGCACCGGCAUCUCACAGGAAGGAGGCUUGGGUGUGACCUGAGCACCUGCACCACGGGAGAGGCUUGGGUAGUGUGUGGACACCUAGACCACAGGGAGGCCUGGGAACUGCCUGAGCACCUGCACCACGGGAGAGGCUUGGGUGACACUUGGGCACCUGCACCCAACACAGGUAGCAGUGAUCACAGUGAAAACAUUUUGUUAGCAGUCGUCUGCUUCCUGUCCUGGCAUGAGCAGCAACGGGUAAAGGGCACUCUUGUCAGCUGAGGGGAUGAGUGGGGCUCUGCCCAGCUGGUUGGAGACUCCAGCAGGUUUGCAGGAGGAGACGGAAGAGCAAGGAGUGGAGGCAAAAACUGCUGCCAAGAUCCUGUGGGAAAACAGGAACCCAAAGAAGGAACUCCAAUGGGAAACUAAUUUAGACAACAAUGAUCUUAAAGUUUUUGCUCCUUCGAGACUGUUGAAAAGAACUCCCACGAGUGAACAAAAGACGCCUGGCCGAGGACACUCCAGAGUGCUGUCACGAGGGUUCCCUGCAGUUUUCAGAAACUUGGAGCAUGUGGCCACAGCGGCUUGCACGUGAUUCAUACGGCACAUCUUGUCACCAUGUAAAUGUUUAUCAGCAGAGACAAAGACCAGAAGAGCAACCUUGGAAAGAGCUAAAUAUUCCGAUGUUCCAGCAUUUUCCCCUCUGGUUUGUAUUGUGAAUUUUUAAAAUCUCGAUUGACAAGUU